GAUGAACGCUGGCGGCGUGCGUAAUACAUGCAAGUCGAGCGAACGGACGAGAAGCUUGCUUCUCUGAUGUUAGCGGCGGACGGGUGAGUAACACGUGUAUAACCUACCUAUAUGACUGGGAUAACUUCGGGAAACCGGAGCUAAUACCGGAUAAUAUUUUGAUCCGCAUGGUUCAAAGGUGAAAUACGGUCUUUCUGUCACUUAUCGCUGGAUCCGCGCUGCAUUAGCUAGUAGGUAAGGUAACGGCUUACCAAGGCGACGAUGCAUAGCCGACGGGAGAGGGUGGUCGGCCCCACUGGAAGUGGAACGCGGACCAGAGUCCUACGGUAGGCAGCAGUAGGGAAUCUUCCGCAAUGGGCGAGAGCCUUGCGGAGCAACGCCGCGUGAGUGAUAGAGGUCUUCGGAUCGUAAAACUCUGUUAUUAGGGAAGAACAUAUUUGUAAGUAGCUGUGCACAGCUUGACGGUACCUAAUCAGAAAGCCACGGCUAACUACGUG
rnacentral:rRNA from 1 species